rnacentral:rRNA from 1 species
CGGCAACAGCUCAAAUUUGAAAUCUGGCUCUUUCAGAGUCCGAGUUGUAAUUUGUAGAGGAUACUUUUGAUGCGGUGCCUUCCGAGUUCCCUGGAACGGGACGCCAUAGAGGGUGAGAGCCCCGUCUGGUUGGAUGCCAAAUCUCUGUAAAGUUCCUUCAAC